CCACAUGAAGUAAUCCUAAGUGACACUAGCCUGAUGUAGAUCCCAUUCAAUGCAGUCCCUGCCUUCCAGGUGGCCUUUAGUGAGCCAGUGGCUCGGAUUUAUGUGGUCAGAUUCUGAGCCGGCAGACACAAGGACAAGCCAGCGAGAGGUGUGGCAGGACUGGAGAUUCUGUGUAGGUCUGUAUGUGAUGGGCUUUAUGAAAUGCAUCUAUUUAAUGUACUCCAAGCCAAUUCUAAAUGAAGCAUGAUGCAGCCAAAUAUGAAAGGAGCUCAUUAUUGAUACAUUUUAUGGACCGAAUUGUGUUCUCUGGAAAAGGUAGUUGAAGUCCCUUAAUAUGUGACCUUAUUUGGAGGAAUAGGAUCUUAAAGAAGUAAUCAAGUUAAAAUCACGUCAUUCAAGUGGGCUCUAAUCCAAUAUAACUGAUGUCUUUAUUAGAAGGUUAAAUUUGAACAGAGACAGAUGUGCAUAGAGAGAAGGUUGUGUGAAGAGACACAGGAAGGAGACGGCCAUCUAUUUGGAACAGAGCUUCCCUUAUAGACCUCAGAAGGAACCAACUCUGAUACCUUGGUUUUGGGCUUCCAGACUCCAGAACUGUGAGACAAUAAAUUCCUGUUAUUUAAGGCUCACCAGUCUGCGGGGCUUUGCCAUGGCAUCCUAAGAAAGUGAGCGUGAAACUUAAUUCAUCAGUACGGAAAACAUCUUGGCAGUUUAACCACUAUUGUAAUACUCAUGUAUUGAUACGUGUUUCAGAAUUUUUCUGCUCUCUUCCUCAGUAUGUAUGUACAGCAAAAGCUUCAGAGAGAAACUCCAGGCCAUGCAAACUCAUGAACUAAACUCUGGGAGAGGUGCUGGUGAUGACCUGGAAGGGAAAGAUGAGUGUUUGGCACAGGACGGGACCGACCGAAAGUGGUUGUGUGGGAGGGUUUGAUGGGGUGGCUGCUGGUUGUUGUUGGGAGAGGAGGGGCAGGUGGGUUCUCUCCUCUGGCAAGGCCACGGGUGUGGUCUGGCUUGGAGCAGGAUCCAGAGCCAUUGAACUCUGAGGAACUAUGAAGCUCCUGCUGCAGGUAGGAAAGAAAGAGAAGGUGAGAAGAUAGGAGGAAGCUUCCCAAUGCCCUAGACAGGUUGCAGGUGAGGGCACAGACCCCUGUGCAGAUGUGCUGGAGCUGCAGUGCAGUGGGAUGCCCGGGAACAUGGGGGGCUCCUGACUUAGUGCUGAGAUGCCUGGAAGUCAAAGGCACGUGGAGAUGGCGAGCUGCACGAUGAGAAGUGUGAUCUCCUCCUUCCAAACUGCAGAGAG
rnacentral:lncRNA from 1 species